rnacentral:misc_RNA from 1 species
GAUGAAGAACGCAGCAAAAUGCGAUAAGUAAUGUGAAUUGCAGAAUUCAGUGAAUCAUCGAAUCUUUGAACGCACAUUGCGCCCGCUGGUAUUCCGGCGGGCAUGCCUGUUCGAGCGUCAUUUCAACCCUCAAGCCCCCGGGUUUGGUGUUGGGGAUCGGCUCUGCCCUUCUGGGCGGUGCCGCCCCCGAAAUACAUUGGCGGUCUCACUGCAGCCUCCAUUGCGUAGUAGCUAACACCUCGCAACUGGAACGCGGCGCGGCCAUGCCGUAAAACCCCAACUUCUGAAUGUUGACCUCGGAUCAGGUAGGAAUACCCGCUGAACUUAAGCAUAUCAAUAAGCGGAGGA